UACGAACUGUGCGAACGUUAUUCGGAAUCACUGGGCUUACAGGGUGCGUAGGCGGCGAUGCAAGUCAGGUGUGAAAGCCCACGGCUCAACCGUGGAACAGCGCUUGAAACUGCAUUGCUGGAGUGAGCUAGAGGUAUGCGGAACUUCCGGUGGAGCGGUGAAAUGUGUUGAUAUCGGAAGGAACACCAGAGGCGAAAGCGGCAUACUGGAGCUUGUCUGACGCUGAGGCACGAAAGCCAGGGGAGCAAACGGG
rnacentral:rRNA from 2 species